GACGAACGCUGGCGGCGUGCUUAACACAUGUAAGUCGAACGGAAAGGCCCUGCUUUUGUGGGGUGCUCGAGUGGCGAACGGGUGAGUAACACGUGAGUAACCUGCCCUUGACUUUGGGAUAACUUCAGGAAACUGGGGCUAAUACCGGAUAGGAGCUCCUGCUGCAUGGUGGGGGUUGGAAAGUUUCGGCGGUUGGGGAUGGACUCGCGGCUUAUCAGCUUGUUGGUGGGGUAGUGGCUUACCAAGGCUUUGACGGGUAGCCGGCCUGAGAGGGUGACCGGCCACAUUGGGACUGAGAUACGGACCAGACUCCUACGGGAGGCAGCAGUGGGGAAUAUUGCACAAUGGGCGGAAGCCUGAUGCAGCAACGCCGCGUGCGGGAUGACGGCCUUCGGGUUGUAAACCGCUUUCGCCUGUGACGAAGCGUGAGUGACGGUAAUGGGUAAAGAAGCACCGGCUAACUACGUG
rnacentral:rRNA from 1 species